GCCCAGGCGUGGGUCUCCGCCAUGGGCCUGCGCCGCCUCGGGACCGGGGUCAGGGAGCUCCUGCCUGCCUGGAUGAAGAGGAGGUCAAGACUUUGUCCCCCACUCCGCAAGAUACCCUCUCUGUUCCGGAGCGGUGGGUCCCUCCCCUGUUAGGACCUUGUCUCCCUCAGGACUGGACCUGGAUCCUGGGCCUGCAGUCAGAUUGCCAGUUUCACUUAGAGGUGGAAAUGUCAACCCACUGGUUGGAAUGGGAAGGUAGGGUGUGGGGUCGGGGAGUACCUUCAUUUCUAUCUGCCCAGGAGGCCAGCCGCUUCCUGCAUAGCAUUUCCUUCCUGCAGUAUGGGAAGGACCAGGCUUUCUCAGACCACAGAAUCUUGAGAGCCAUUUCCACGUGGAGCAAGUGGUGGCUACCAGCCUUGGGUCUACAUAACUAGGGCCUCAUCCCUGGCCCAAGAAUCCUGCUCCACAGCCUUCUUGUGUCCCUGUAGGAGGAGAAACACCUGGCAACUUAAAUUUUUUAAAAUAACUUUUUUUUUUUUUUGAGACGGAGUCUCGCUCUGUCUCCCAGGCUGGAGUGCAGUGGUGCGAUCUCGGCUCACUGCAAGCUCCGCCUCCCAGGUUCAUGCCAUUCUCCUGCCUCAGCCUCCCAAGUAGCUGGGACUACAGGCACCUGCCAUCACGCACGGCUAAUUUUUUUGUAUUUUUUUAGGUGAGACAGGAUUUCACCAUGUUAGCCAGGAUGGUCUUGAUCUCCUGACCUCAUGAUCUGCCCACCUCGGCCUCCCAAAGUGCUGGGCUUACAGGCGUGAGCCACCGUGCCCGGCCAAAAAUAACUUUUAAAAACAUGAGUAUAGCAUACACACACACAAAAGUCCACAAAUCCUAGGUGUACCACUUGAUGAAUGAUCCCAACGUGAGCACACCUCUGGAUUACCACCUGGAUCAAGAAAUAGGACAUCACAGCAGCUGGCAGCUUCCAAGGAGAAGCUCUGGAAAGUUCUGCCUGUCUCAGCACCUGGCUGGAUCGGAAACGAGUUUUCUUUAACCAGAUUUUUAAUGACUGACUUAUGUGGACAAAUCAUAACUGAAUGAAUCACCUCCUUUGUUGAUUUUUUUGGGUACUUUAUUUGCUAUUAUAAAUGAUGCUGUAAUAAGCACCCUUGAAGAAAUCUUCAUAUCUGCCUCUCCUGUGUAGCAGGUCACAGUGCCUGGGUUUGGUUCUAGCCCUCAUUUGUGAACUGUGUGACUCACCAUGCCUUUUUUCUUUCUGUAAGACAGGAAUAAUGGUAAGAAUUUAAAUGGGGGUAAUAUGGAGCGCGUUUAGUUCAGAGCCUGGUGCAUACAAGCACUCAAUAAGUACUGGCGAUUAUUAGACCUUUAGAUUAAUUUAUUAGAAGUUGGAUUUCUGGUGAAAGGGUUUGAGUGUUUUUGAGGCUUUGGCACAGAAUACCCAGCUGGUCCCAGAAAGGUGGUUCCCAUUUACCUGCCCGAAGGUAAUUCACCCUUACUGAUACUGAGUACUGUUUUCUAAAAGAACAUUAAAAAUUGGAUAGGUUAAAAACAGGUGAAUACAUUUUUUUAGUUGCAUUUUUUUGGUUACCCGUGAGAGUGAACAUGUUGCCAUGUGUUUGCUGACCUCCUAAAUGGUCUAUUUGCUCCUACCUUUGUACCCCAAAAGUCUGCUCUCAAGAUGGUAGCCAGAAUGAUCCUUUUUGAGACAUAAGUCAAAAUUUCACUCUUCUCCUUAAAGCUCUGCAAUGGUUCUCAGGUUAAAAGCCAAAGUCCUGUUCAAGGCCUCCAGGGUCCUCACCACUUGGUCCCUUGCUCUUUCUGUUCUAGCCAACUUGGCCUUCUCCUGCCCCUCCGCCGCACCAUGGCAAUUUCCCCUGCUCUGUGUGGUCAACUACCUGAAUCUGUUCAAAGCUUUGCUCAAAUGUCUCCUUCCUGAUGAGACCUCCCCAGCCCCUGAGCUCCCCAUGCCUCACUCCUGAUCGCCUUACUUAACCCUUCUUUUUCUUUUUUGCCAGUAGUACUUAUCACCGUCUAAAAUACUUCAUAAUUUACUUGUUUAUUGUUUGCCCCUCUCCAAUAGAAUGUAAGCUCCUUGGGGCAGGGACCUUUGUCCUUUGUCUUGUUCACUGCUGUGUCCCAUGUGUAAACUUGUCUGGCACAGAAGAGGUGCUCGAUAAAUAUUUGUUGAGUGAAUGAAUGGUAAAUUUUCUGUUCAUAUUCUUUGACUAUUUUCUAUUGUAAUGUUCAUCUUUUUAGUAUUGGUUUAUAAGAUGUAUAUUUAGCACCUUUUCAUAUAUCACUCUUUGUCACAUAUUAUGCAACUAAUUUGUCAUUUCCAUCAAUUUUUAAAAUACUUUCUUGAUGCUUCAUUUUUAAGCUGUCAGAUUAUUAAUCUUUUCUUUAUGGUCUUGGACUUUAUUGUUGCAUAACCGCUGCCUUCACCAGGAACAUAUAAAUUUUCAAUUAAAUGUUCUUCUGAGAUUUUAUGAUUUCACUUUUUAUAUUAAACUCUUCAUUUUGUCUUCAUGUGUGGUGAGAGGUAAGAACAUAACUUUAAAGCAAAUUAACCAACUAUCCCCAAAUGAAUUAUAAAUAAAUUAAUCAUUUUCCAAUGAUCUGAAAGGCCAUUUUAUCAUACACUAAAUAUUUUUGUGUGUUUGACUGGGUUUACCGUUCUGUUCCGUUGGCCUAUCACAUCGUUCUUACAUUGGUAUUUGUUGCCCUAUUUUAAUGAUUGUAACUUUUUAAUAAGGGUUAAUGACUGAGAAUACAAGUCCCAUUGUUUUGUUUUAUUAUUUUUAUUAUUUUUUUGAGACAGGGUUUCACUCUGUCACCCAGGCUGGAGUAUAGUAGCACUAUCUCGGCUCAUUGCAACCUCUGCCUCCCUGGUUCAAGUGAUUCUCCCACCUCAACCUCCCGAGUAGCUGGGACUACAGAUGCAUGCCACCACACCCAGCUAAUUCUUGUAUUUUUAGUAGAGACAGGGUUUCACCAUGUUGACCAGGCUGGUCUUGAACUCCUGGCUUCAAGUGAUUCACCUGCCUCGACCUCCCAAAGUGCUGGGAUUACAGGCGUGACUCACCACGCCUGGCCCAUUUUUUUCUUUUGAGGUGUUCUUUGUGGCAAUUCAUAUAUUCUUUAAGAUAAAUUCUAAACUUUUUUUUUCUGCCGAGAUAAACUAGCAGACAAAUCCCACUGGACAUUGCAAUUGGAUUAGUUUUGUAGAUUAAUUUAGUGAUAAUCAACUUCUUUGCACCAUUGAGUGCUUCUGUCCGGGAACGUGGCAUAUCUUUCUAUUAUUAAGGUCUUUUUUAUUAUAGGUCUUUAGGGAAGCUUUAUUUUAUAGAUGAAUGUAGUGUGUUUGGUGCUUAUUUUCAUAAAAUAAAGCAAUGACAUCUGUGGCAGGCAGCUUCUGAAAUGGCUCCCAAUGAUCCUUACCUUCUGAUAGUCACCCCCUUGGAGAAUCCCUUUCCUUUGUGUGUGGGCUGGAUCUAGUGACUUGCUUCUCAUAAAUAGAAUAUGGCAAAAAAUGAUGGGUUGUUACUUCUGAGAUUAGGUUAUAAGAGGCGAAUUUCUGUUUUGCUGUAAUUUUGUCUCUCUAACCCUCUUGCUUUCCUGUGCUCAUGAAACCAGCUGCUGUGUUGUGAGCCACCUUAUGGAAAACCCAUGUGGCAGAGAACCGAGGGUGGUGGCUGGCCAACAGCAAGCCAGGAGCUGAGGCCCACAGUCCAACAACUGAGACUGGGUCCCACCAUAUUGCCUGGGCUGGCCUCGGACUCUUGACCCCAAGUGAUCCUCUGGCCUCAGCCUCCCAAGCAGCUGGAUUUACAGGCAGGCACCACCGCACCGAGCUAAAAACGCCUGGCUUCCCUGGGCCUGCUGCACCUGCUCUGGCUAGGUUGGAGAGGGCUGCAGGGAGGACCGCAGUCAGCAGAGGGCGCCAAAGCCUCUCAACACAAGCAUGGCCCAGGCCUGGCCCAGAAGGAGAGCGCUGAGAGCCAGGACUGGCGGGCUACGUGCGCCCUGUGGAUUCCCCCAUUUCCCAUGCUUCAUCCAGCCAUGGGCCUGCAGUGCACUCACAAAUGUGCAUAUACCCUCCUGUGUGUGUGUUACACUCAUCAAAUUGUCUCUGAAUUUGCUUGGCUUCAUGUGUUCCUGUGUGUGUUUAUGUGUGUGUGUGGUGUGUCUGGUGUAUCUGGUUCCCCAGGAAGCACAUUUGACAGCCCCACAGUCAGGGUCAGGGCACAGGGACAGAUACUGUGUCUAUAACAAUCCAUAACACUGAUUUUGUUCAUCUCAAUAAAUGUGAGAAUGAAAUAAAAAUUAAUGUAGAAUAUUUUGUACAUCUCAAUAAAGCCACUUUCUGGGGGCAGGCAUUAUAAUUCUAGCCUCUGUUCUACUGUUUGAUAGGUAAAGAAUAACUUUCCACAUAGGGAGAGGAAUGGACAGCUACCCAGCCCUCCCACUGUUACAGGCCUGGGCUAGAAGCUUUCCAUCUAGGCUCCUGGUUG
rnacentral:lncRNA from 1 species